GAUUAAGCUAGAAAGAGCUUAUGGUGGAUGCCUAGGCAUUCAGAGUUGAAGAAGGACGUGACCGGCUGCGAAAAGCCGCGGGGAGCUGCUAAAUAAGCGUAGAUCCGUGGAUAUCCGAAUGGGGAAACCCACCAGUGUGGAGCACUGGUAUUAUGCAGUGAAAGAAGUAGCUGUAUAAGAACAAGCAGGAGAAUUGAAACAUCUUAGUACCCUGAGGAAAAGAAAUCAAAACGAGAUUCCCUUAGUAGCGGCGAGCGAAGGGGGAGGAGUCCAAACACUAAAAGUGUAAACCUGUAGGUGUUGCUUUUAGUGGGUGUUGGAUAUUAUCAUUUAGAGGCUACAGCCUCUAAGUGGCUUAAAUUUUUUGC
rnacentral:rRNA from 1 species